GUGUGUGUAGGCCAGUGUCUCCUGUUGUAUUAUCAGUUACUUAAGUUUCCAGUUCCUAUAAGCUGUUGUUUAUAUUACCUCUCUGAACAGCCAUCUUUAAAGACUGGAAUGCCAGAGGAAGUAGCCAGUGUGGAGCGUCGCCCUGCGGGAAGCCUUGGUUGCAGGAUCAUCAUAUUGAGAUAUUUUUUUGCUUUUUUAGAAACUGAUACAUCCUGUAUAUAAAAUAUUUAGAUUUACAUGUACUUCAUAUAUAUAUGCAGUUAAUAUGAUGGUUAGGUUUACUGUCCAGUGAUUGAAAUAACAUGUAUUUGGGGAUAUUCUUAGGGUACUGUGCAACAGAAUAAUGUGUAUUAUGGCUGAUGAUUUUGCUUUAUUCAAGAGAGGGUUGUUAGUUGCUUAUUCUAGUGUUUCAUUAGACUUUGGUGUUGAGUAUCUUUCAUGCUUAUCCUUUAUAAGGAUGUUUCUGAUGUCAGGAGCCUCUCCUGAUUCAGGACUUUGGACCCUGGUAUUUUCAGUUAAGCUUUCGGGGCUGAUGAAGCUGGUUAAUAUUGAUGUGAAUUAAGUUUCUUUUCACUGCACAUGUACAGUUAGAUAAAUUGUUCCUAUUUGAUAUUGAGUGAAUGUUGGACCAAUAAAUAAUAAGAAAG